AAAAAACGGAGCCGCUCGUAGCCGCCACCGCCGCAGCAGCCGCCGACCGGAGGGCGCAUGCGCCGGGAGGGAAGCAGGAGGGAGCGAACCGGGAGCGGAGAGGAGGGAGGCGGGCCGCGCUAUUCAGCCCCACACUGCUAUGGGAGAGAAUGAAGUUCUUUGUCUCUAAGGGAUCCAGACCAGAAACGGAGGGACCUCUGGUUCCCAGAGGGAGGAAAAUCCAUGAUGUCUGCAGCCGAGGGAGUUGUUGCCACAACCUCCCUGGAAUGAAGUGUUGCCAACUACCAACAGUUCUUUCCCAACGACCAUCUCCCCAGCCUUCUUAAGUCACUUGAGCAUCUUCUGGAGGUUCAUGAAAGGUUGCAGCGAAGGAAAUCUGCGAAGCGAUUUAUCCCUUUACCUGGAAUAGGAAUACUUGAGAGUAUUCUCUUGUGUUGAGCGCUUCUUCCUCUUCAUGUUCAGUGUGUGUGUGUGCGCGCGCGCUAAUUUUCAGGUAACUUUAGCCAACAAGUCCUCACAGAAUUCCUCGUGGAAAAACUUUUAACUAGUUUUAAUUGACUGUUGUUGUUAUUUUCUGUUGAGGUGUAUUUUUUUCCAAUCCGUAGGGAAAUGGAGAUGACUAUCAUUCUUUGGCCUAAUGUAAAAAAACCCUCUAAUUAAAACUGUUUCUCUGC